AGCAGCCGCGGUAAUUCCAGCUCCAAUAGCGUAUAUUAAAGUUGUUGCAGUUAAAAGCUCAUAGUUGAAUUUCGGGAUUAGUAAGUUGGUCAUGCCUUUGGUAUGUACUGGUUUCACUGAUUCCUCCCUCUUGAUGAACUGUUAUGUCAUUAAUUUGGUGUUUCAGGGAAUCAGGACUGUUACUUUGAAAAAAUUGAGUGUUUAAAGCAGGCUAACGCUUGAAUACAUCAGCAUGGAAUAAUGAAAUAGGACGUUCGAUCCUAUUUUGUUGGUUUCUAGGAUUGACGUAAUGAUUAAUAGGGAUAGUUGGGGGCAUUAGUAUUCAAUUGUCAGAGGUGAAAUUCUUGGAUUUAUUGAAGACUAACUACUGCGAAAGCAUUUGCCAAGGAUGUUUUCAUUAAUCAAGAACGAAAGUUAGGGAUCGAAGACGAUCAGAUACCGUCGUAGUCUUAACCAUAAACUAUGCCGACUAGGGAUCGGAUGAUGUUAUUUUUAUGUA
rnacentral:rRNA from 1 species